rnacentral:lncRNA from 1 species
CUUCUCUACACGUGGCCACUGCGUCCAUGUCUGAGAGGGGAUGGAUGUAGUGCAGGGAAGGAAUAUUACUGCUCUGGCACCACAGCCAAAACUUUAAAAGCAAAUUCAAGAUUAUAAUUAAUGAAAGUACAAAUCUGACACAUUGCUGCUCCGUUUAGAGCUAAAGCAAUGUAAGACAUUGUGAGGAUGCACAACGUUCAGGGAAAACAAAGCUAGCUGGAAAACAGCCUGUGGGAUUUCAGCUUUCAGAAAAUGUGAGAAUGUCUGUGUACAGUGAUAGGACAAGGGGGAAUGGUUCUAAACUGAGACAGGGGAGGUUUAGGUUGGAUAUUAGGAGGAAGUUUUUCACCCGGGGGGUGGUGACGCACUGAACAGGUUGCCCAAGGAGGCUGUGGGUGCCCCAUCCCUGCAG